rnacentral:rRNA from 1 species
GACGAACGCUGGCGGCGUGCUUAACACAUGCAAGUCGAGCGAGCGGCGAACGGGUGAGUAACACGUGAGCAACCUGCCCCUGACUCUGGGAUAAGCGGUGGAAACACCGUCUAAUACCGGAUAGUCAGGGAUGGGCUCGCGGCCUAUCAGCUUGUUGGUGGGGUAACGGCCUACCAAGGCGAUUACGGGUAGCCGGCCUGAGAGGGCGACCGGCCACACUGGGACUGAGACACGGCCCAGACUCCUGCGGGAGGCAGCAGUGGGGAAUAUUGCGCAAUGGGCGAAAGCCUGAAGCAGCGACGCCGCGUGGGGGAUGACGGCCUUCGGGUUGUAAACCUCUUGUACCACCAACGCGGUAGGUGGGGAAUAAGGACCUGCUAACUACGGGCCAGCAGCCGCGGUAAUAC